GAGAAAUAAUAAGAACGCAGAAAAUGGUUAUUACGAGUUAAUAGAUUGUGGUGUGUA
rnacentral:guide_RNA from 1 species